rnacentral:lncRNA from 1 species
CGGAUUGCAACAGAAGUUUACAAAUGGUUAGCCCGAGAGCCAGAUCCACAUUGCUUUAUGAAUUUGCCCCAAGUUUUUAAAUUGAGGCUUGUGCCAAGUGAAGGACCCAGGAAUGCUGCGACUCUGGCUUCAGCACCGGCAUCUGUCUGUCAGCUGGGCCCAGCCCAAGUAUCCCUGAGGGGCCAAGAAGCAGAAGAGGCAGAAAGACCUGAGCUCCAGGCCAGGCCCUGCUGCAGCACCAAGUGUCAUCCAUGGAACCCCUUUCCCUCCUCCAAGCCUCCUUCCACCAUUCAGGCUCCUGCCCUAGAUUGCACAAGGCUGUGGCACCGAUUUCAGCUGAAACCAUACCCUCCUCUGUCUUCCCGUGGAUCUUUGUCCAUCGCCCAUUCUAACACACGUCUGUCUGCCUUGUUUGGAGUUUUUCUGUAUGUGUUUUCUUCCCUUUCAAACUUGGAGGUCCUUGAAGACAUAGUCCAGGGCAUGUGGUGGGUGCUCAGCAAAUGCUUACUGAAUCGGUUUGUCCUCGCUUAGCCUCUGUUCAGGUGCUGCCAUUUCCUGUUUCAAUUUGCCAAACAAAUGGAGACUGACCUAUCAGGUCCUCAACUUCCCCUCCUCUAUAAAAUAGUCUGUGUGUGUGGCGGGGGGGUUGGGAACGUAUGUGAAAGCAAUCUCUAGAUGGCAGAUUGGUCACCUGCUUCUAGUGUUAACAUAAGUUUAAGUCCAGGCUCUGCCACCAGCUGUAUGAACUAAAGACAAUCACUGGGCUUCUCUGGGCUUUCGUGUUCUGAAGGAACUCCUCCUUCCACUCUCAACUUGCUUCAUGUCCAACUUUUUUUGUUAUUAUUAUUAUUUUUUUAGAGAUGGGGUCUUCCUAUGUUGCCCAGGCUGGCCUCUAACUCCUAGGCUCAAGCGAUCCUCCUGCUCUGGCCUCCGGAGUAGCUGGGACCACAGGUCCACACCACCAUGCCUGGCUCAUAUUCACCUUUCUCACUAGGACUGUGCAAUACCAUUUUCUGGUGACUCUUCCCACCAACAGCUGACUCCCUAAAUAAUCCAGCUCCCCACCAUCAUGCGUGCUCUUUUCAAGGCCCCAAGCUGAUCCUGUAAGUCUCUUGUGUAAAGCCCUCUGCUGGGUCCCAUUCCCUUGACCCCAGCUCCUACCUCCUGACUUUGGCUCUAACACUGAUACGGUUUGGCUGUGUCCCCACCCAAAUAUUAUAUUGAAUUCCCAUGUGUUGUGGGAGAGUACUAGUGGGAGGUAGUUGAAUCAUGGAGGAAGGUCUUUCCAGUGCUGUUCUCAUGAUAGUGAAUAAGUCUCACCAGAUCUGAUGGUUUUAAAAAGGGGAGUUUCCCUGCACGAGCUCUCUUCUCUCAUCUGUCACCACGUGAGACAUGCCUUUCACCUUCUACCAUGAUUGUGAGGUCUCCCCAGCCACAUGGAACUGUAAGUCCAAUAAACCUCUUUCUUUUGUA